UGCUCACUUCGGAAGGACAAGAUUAAGUAUACCGUGAAGUGCCCUAACGCUGCAGCACGCCAGGAAACGGCGGUGUCCUGAAGUACACGGUGAAGAGCAAGCACACUCUCUUUAGGUAGAAAUCACCAGGUAUUGCCCACAACAUCCAUGGGCUGGGGAGCGAGGAGGGCAAGAACCUCACUGAGAAAACCAGAAUCUAGAGAGGACCCGCGGCCACAGCGAGACAGACUGUCCACGGCGGACAUUACGAAAAUAUAAUGCAAGGGGACUGUUUUUAAAAUGAUUGAUUAAAAGUGUGACUACAUGCAAGUU
rnacentral:lncRNA from 1 species